AUAAUAAAGCUGUUCUAACCAAAGACAGCAGGUGCAACGGGCUUUAGGCCCGGCAUAAGGUGAAAACCGCCUGCCGAGGAAAGGAAGCUGCGCGCAGUACAGCUGCGUAUUAUGCAGAUAUUCAACCCUUUUCCCAGCUUGCGGAAGAGGGUUUUUCCUUUUGCCUU
rfam:Ruminococcus sp. CAG:177 genomic scaffold, scf107